rnacentral:rRNA from 1 species
UACAGGGGGGGCAAGCGUUGUUCGGAAUUACUGGGCGUAAAGGGCCAGUAGGCGGCCAACUAAGUCCGACGUGAAAUCCCUCGGCUUAACCGGGGAACUGCGUCUGAUACUGGAUGGCUUGAGAUUGGGAGAGGGAUGCGGAAUUCCAGGUGUAGCGGUGAAAUGCGUAGAUAUCUGGAGGAAUACCGGUGGCGAAGGCGGCAUCCUGGACCGGCAUUGACGCUGAGGAGCGAAAGCCAGGGGAGCAAACGGG